rfam:Triticum aestivum genome assembly, contig: Triticum_aestivum_CS42_TGACv1_scaffold_061294_1DL
UUUGUACUUCCUCCAUCCCAAAAUUCUUGUCUUAGAUUUGUCUAUACGGAUGUAUCAAGUCAGGUCUUAGCAUUAGAUACAUCCGUAUCUAGACAAAUUUAAGACAAAAAUUUUGAGACAGAGGGAGUAUUAU